rnacentral:rRNA from 1 species
CCUACGGGGGGCAGCAGUGAGGAAUAUUGGUCAAUGGACGAGAGUCUGAACCAGCCAAGUAGCGUGAAGGAUGACUGCCCUAUGGGUUGUAAACUUCUUUUAUAUGGGAAUAAAAUGGUCCACGUGUGGGAUGUUGUAUGUACCAUAUGAAUAAGGAUCGGCUAACUCCGUGCCAGCAGCCGCGGUAAUACGGAGGAUCCGAGCGUUAUCCGGAUUUAUUGGGUUUAAAGGGAGCGCAGGUGGCUUGUUAAGUCAGGUGUGAAAGUUUGGGGCUCAACCGUAAGAGUGCAGUUGAAACUGGCAGUCUUGAGUACAGUAGAGGUAGGCGGAAUGCGUGGUGUAGCGGUGAAAUGCUUAGAUAUCGCGAAGAACUCCGAUUGCGAAGGCAGUGCACUGGACUGCAACUGACGCUGAGGCUCGAAAGUGUGGGUAUCAAACAGGAUUAGAUACCCCAGUAGUC